rnacentral:rRNA from 1 species
UGCCUAACCUGCAAGUCGAACGAACCCUUCGGGGUUAGUGGCGCACGGGUGCGUAACGCGUGGGAACCUGCCUUUAGGUUCGGAAUAACUCAGAGAAAUUUGAGCUAAUACCGGAUAAUGUCUUCGGACCAAAGAUUUAUCGCCUUUAGAUGGGCCCGCGUUAGAUUAGAUAGUUGGUGGGGUAAUGGCCUACCAAGUCGACGAUCUAUAGCUGGUCUGAGAGGAUGAUCAGCCACACUGGGACUGAGACACGGCCCAGACUCCUACGGGAGGCAGCAGUGGGGAAUAUUGGACAAUGGGCGAAAGCCUGAUCCAGCAAUGCCGCGUGAGUGAUGAAGGC